CGUACUAAGCAAGCUACAAAUGUACUAACUUCUCUAGUGUAAUCCAGGGGCAUACAAAUAACACUGGGAAUACUGCAGAACUUACAUGCAAGGCUGGAAGAAGAUGAGAAAGUUGGCAGUAGCAAGUCAACCAGACCUCUGGAAUCAUAGAUACAGCUACAUUAAUUAAUUAUAGGCAGUGUGAGCGUGCAUGUGCGGAGGUGUGUGUGGCUAAGUAAGCCACCUUUCAUGUUUACACAUGUAGAAAGCUAACAACAUGUUGAUAGCAAUACAUCCAUUACUGUAUGAUAACCAUUGUGUAGAAAGGCUAUAGCAACAUAGUUGGAAUUAAGCACUUCAAAAGAAGUCCGACUUUCACUAUUGGUGUCACUGCUGGAGGUUCCAUUAAGACUACUCUCCACAUUACUUAUUGGUGUCACUGUAAACACCCACUGGUCUUGAUCACUUGCAUGUACUGCUUCUCUUUUGAUCUCUGGCGGCCUAGCUAAUACCUGCAUGCAGAGCUCUAUAUUUUAUAUAUAUAUAGCCUGUCUAUUAUCUUGUGUAUAUCCCCUAAAAUUCCUCUCUCCUCUUGUCCAGGUUGAGAAUGAUGUGUCCGAGUUCUCUCUCUCUGUGUUCUAUAUAUGACAAUGGCCGCAAAGAGUUGUGUAAGGACGAUGACUACCCACUCAAGCUACGACUCAAGUUAGGACCCUCUGAAGAUAUUGCUAAACUGUUUGUCACACUGUAAAAACACCCCGGUGAAGGUCACCAAUUUGAGUGGUGAGCUUCACCAUUUUUCUACUUCACCAGUGUAAAAGACUGAAAUUGUCACUAUAGUUUUGUUUUUACAGUGCAUUGAAACCUCAGAGGUGGAGGAGAUUCUGUCAGCAGAGGCUUCACAGUGGAUCAAGUUCACUGUGUACGAACUGGAGACAUUCUGCACCAAAUUCACGGAGGAGGAGGAAAAGGAAGAAAAGAGGAUUAGAUCAAGGUUUGGUCGCUGGAGAGGAGAGGUUAAAUAUGCACUGAAUAGUUCACAAACAGACACUUAGCACUUAGAGUACAGUUGUUGUGUAAUAAUUACUUGUGAUAAAGUG